AACGAACGCUGGCGGCAGGCUUAACACAUGCAAGUCGAGCGCCCCGCAAGGGGAGUGGCAGACGGGUGAGUAACGCGUGGGAAUCUACCCAUCACUACGGAACAACUCCGGGAAACUGGAGCUAAUACCGCAUACGUCCUUCGGGAGAAAGAUUUAUCGGUGAUGGAUGAGCCCGCGUUGGAUUAGCUAGUUGGUGGGGUAAUGGCCAACCAAGGCGACGAUCCAUAGCUGGUCUGAGAGGAUGAUCAGCCACACUGGGACUGAGACACGGCCCAGACUCCUACGGGAGGCAGCAGUGGGGAAUAUUGGACAAUGGGCGAAAGCCUGAUCCAGCCAUGCCGCGUGAGUGAUGAAGGCCCUAGGGUUGUAAAGCUCUUUCACCGGUGAAGAUAAUGACGGUAACCGGAGAAGAAGCCCCGGCUAACUUCGUGCCAGCCGCCGCCGUAACAC
rnacentral:rRNA from 1 species